AUUGAACGCUGGCGGCAUGCCUUACACAUGCAAGUCGAACGGUAACGGGCCUUCGGGCGCCGACGAGUGGCGAACGGGUGAGUAAUGUAUCGGAACGUACCUUUCAGUGGGGGAUAACGUAGCGAAAGUUACGCUAAUACCGCAUAUUCUGUGAGCAGGAAAGCAGGGGAUCGCAAGACCUUGCGCUGAUUGAGCGGCCGAUAUCAGAUUAGCUAGUUGGUGAGGUAAAGGCUCACCAAGGCGACGAUCUGUAGCGGGUCUGAGAGGAUGAUCCGCCACACUGGAACUGAGACACGGUCCAGACUCCUACGGGAGGCAGCAGUGGGGAAUUUUGGACAAUGGGGGGCAACCCUGAUCCAGCCAUGCCGCGUGAGUGAAGAAGGCCUCGGUUGUAAGACGUCUUUCGGUCCGGGAACGGAAGUACGUA
rnacentral:rRNA from 1 species